UAGCGUAUAUUAAAGUUGUUGCGGUUAAAAAGCUCGUAGUUGGAUUUCUGUUGAGAGCGGGCGGUCCACCUUUUGGGUGAGUAUCUGCAUUGAUCUCGGCAUCUUCUCGAGAAACGUUCUUGCGCUUGAUUGCGUGAGGCGGUGCUCGGGACUUUUACUUUGAGGAAAUUAGAGUGUUCACGGCAGGCAUACGCCCUGAAUAUAUUAGCAUGGAAUAAUACUAUAGGAUUUUGGUUCUAUUUUGUUGGUUUCUAGGACUAAAAUAAUGAUUAAUAGGGACAAUUGGGGGCAUUCGUAUUAACGCGUC
rnacentral:rRNA from 1 species